AUUGAACGCUGGCGGCAGGCCUAACACAUGCAAGUCGAGCGGAUGAUGGGAGCUUGCUCCUGGAUUCAGCGGCGGACGGGUGAGUAAUGCCUAGGAAUCUGCCUGGUAGUGGGGGACAACGUUUCGAAAGGAACGCUAAUACCGCAUACGUCCUACGGGAGAAAGCAGGGAACCUUCGGGCCUUGCGCUAUCAGAUGAGCCUAGGUCGGAUUAGCUUGUUGGUGAGGUAAUGGCUCACCAAGGCGACGAUCCGUAACUGGUCUGAGAGGAUGGUCAGUCACACUGGAACUGAGACACGGUCCAGACUCCUACGGGAGGCAGAAGUGGGGAAUAUUGGACAAUGGGCGAAAGCCUGAUCCAGCCAUGCCGCGUGUGUGAAGAAGGUCUUAGGAUUGUAAAGCACUUUAAGUUGGGAGGAAGGGUUGUAGAUUAAUACUCUGCAAUUUUGACGUUACCGACAGAAUAAGCACCGGCUAACUCUGUGCCAGCCGCCGCGGUAAUAC
rnacentral:rRNA from 1 species